GGGUGAGUAACGCGUAAGUAAUCUACCCUGAUAUCCGGGAUAACCCACCGAAAGGUGUGCUAAUACGGGAUACGCUGAUUUAUCAGGAAAGGUGGCCUCUUCAUGAAAGCUACUGUAUCGGGAGGAGCUUGCGUACCAUUAGCUAGUUGGUGGGGUAAUGGCCUACCAAGGCGACGAUGGUUAGCGGGUCUGAGAGGAUGAUCCGCCACACUGGAACUGAAACACGGACCAGACUCCUACGGGAGGCAGCAGUGAGGAAUAUUGCGCAAUGGGGGAAACCCUGACGCAGCGACGCCGCGUGGAUGAUGAAGGCUUUCGGGUCGUAAAAUCCUGUCAGAUGGGAAGAAAUGUCAUAUGUCUAAUAUAUGUAUGAUUUGACGGUACCAUCAAAGGAAGCACCGGCUAACUCCGUGCCAGCAGCCGCGGUAAUACGGAGGGUGCAAGCGUUGUUCGGAAUUACUGGGCGUAAAGCGCGCGUAGGCGGCUUUUUAAGUCAGAUGUGAAAGUCCACGGCUCAACCGUGGAAGUGCAUUUGAUACUGGAAGGCUUGAGUACUGGAGGGGAUGGUGGAAUUCCCGGUGUAGAGGUGAAAUUCGUAGAUAUCGGGAGGAAUACCGGUGGCGAAGGCGACCAUCUGGCCAGAUACUGACGCUGAGGUGCGAAAGCGUG
rnacentral:rRNA from 2 species